GAUGAACGCUGGCGGCGUGCCUAAUACAUGCAAGUCGAGCGAACGGACGAGAAGCUUGCUUCUCUGAUGUUAGCGGCGGACGGGUGAGUAACACGUGGAUAACCUACCUAUAAGACUGGGAUAACUUCGGGAAACCGGAGCUAAUACCGGAUAAUAUUUUGAACCGCAUGGUUCAAAAGUGAAAGACGGUCUUGCUGUCACUUAUAGAUGGAUCCGCGCUGCAUUAGCUAGUUGGUAAGGUAACGGCUUACCAAGGCAACGAUGCAUAGCCGACCUGAGAGGGUGAUCGGCCACACUGGAACUGAGACACGGUCCAGACUCCUACGGGAGGCAGCAGUAGGGAAUCUUCCGCAAUGGGCGAAAGCCUGACGGAGCAACGCCGCGUGAGUGAUGAAGGUCUUCGGAUCGUAAAACUCUGAUAUUAGGGAAGAACACAUGUGUAAGUAACUGUGCACAUCUUGACGGUACCUAAUCAGAAAGCCACGGCUAACUACGUG
rnacentral:rRNA from 1 species